UACGGAGGGUGCGAGCGUUGUCCGGAAUCAUUGGGCGUAAAGGGCGCGUAGGUGGCCCGGUCAGUUCGUGGUGAAAGCGCGGGGCUCAACCCUGCGUCGGCCAUGAAUACUGCCGCGGCUGGAGCACUGUAGAGGCAGGCGGAAUUCCGGGUGUAGCGGUGGAAUGCGUAGAGAUCCGGAAGAACACCGGUGGCGAAGGCGGCCUGCUGGGCAGUGGCUGACGCUGAGGCGCGACAGCGUGGGGAGCAAACAGGAUAGAAAC
rnacentral:rRNA from 1 species